rnacentral:rRNA from 2 species
AAAUUGAAGAGUUUGAUCAUGGCUCAGAUUGAACGCUGGCGGCAGGCCUAACACAUGCAAGUCGAACGGUAGCACAGAGAGCUUGCUCUCGGGUGACGAGUGGCGGACGGGUGAGUAAUGUCUGGGAAACUGCCUGAUGGAGGGGGAUAACUACUGGAAACGGUAGCUAAUACCGCAUAACGUCGCAAGACCAAAGAGGGGGACCUUCGGGCCUCUUGCCAUCAGAUGUGCCCAGAUGGGAUUAGCUAGUAGGUGGGGUAACGGCUCACCUAGGCGACGAUCCCUAGCUGGUCUGAGAGGAUGACCAGCCACACUGGAACUGAGACACGGUCCAGACUCCUACGGGAGGCAGCAGUGGGGAAUAUUGCACAAUGGGCGCAAGCCUGAUGCAGCCAUGCCGCGUGUAUGAAGAAGGCCUUCGGGUUGUAAAGUACUUUCAGCGGGGAGGAAGGUGUUGUGGUUAAUAACCGCAGCAAUUGACGUUACCCGCAGAAGAAGCACCGGCUAACUCCGUGCCAGCAGCCGCGGUAAUACGGAGGGUGCAAGCGUUAAUCGGAAUUACUGGGCGUAAAGCGCACGCAGGCGGUCUGUCAAGUCGGAUGUGAAAUCCCCGGGCUCAACCUGGGAACUGCAUUCGAAACUGGCAGGCUAGAGUCUUGUAGAGGGGGGUAGAAUUCCAGGUGUAGCGGUGAAAUGCGUAGAGAUCUGGAGGAAUACCGGUGGCGAAGGCGGCCCCCUGGACAAAGACUGACGCUCAGGUGCGAAAGCGUGGGGAGCAAACAGGAUUAGAUACCCUGGUAGUCCACGCCGUAAACGAUGUCGAUUUGGAGGUUGUGCCCUUGAGGCGUGGCUUCCGGAGCUAACGCGUUAAAUCGACCGCCUGGGGAGUACGGCCGCAAGGUUAAAACUCAAAUGAAUUGACGGGGGCCCGCACAAGCGGUGGAGCAUGUGGUUUAAUUCGAUGCAACGCGAAGAACCUUACCUGGUCUUGACAUCCACAGAACUUAGCAGAGAUGCUUUGGUGCCUUCGGGAACUGUGAGACAGGUGCUGCAUGGCUGUCGUCAGCUCGUGUUGUGAAAUGUUGGGUUAAGUCCCGCAACGAGCGCAACCCUUAUCCUUUGUUGCCAGCGGUUAGGCCGGGAACUCAAAGGAGACUGCCAGUGAUAAACUGGAGGAAGGUGGGGAUGACGUCAAGUCAUCAUGGCCCUUACGACCAGGGCUACACACGUGCUACAAUGGCGCAUACAAAGAGAAGCGACCUCGCGAGAGCAAGCGGACCUCAUAAAGUGCGUCGUAGUCCGGAUUGGAGUCUGCAACUCGACUCCAUGAAGUCGGAAUCGCUAGUAAUCGUAGAUCAGAAUGCUACGGUGAAUACGUUCCCGGGCCUUGUACACACCGCCCGUCACACCAUGGGAGUGGGUUGCAAAAGAAGUAGGUAGCUUAACCUUCGGGAGGGCGCUUACCACUUUGUGAUUCAUGACUGGGGUGAAGUCGUAACAAGGUAACCGUAGGGGAACCUGCGGUUGGAUCACCUCCUUA